rnacentral:rRNA from 1 species
GACGAACGCUGGCGGCGUGCUUAACACAUGCCAGUCGAACGGUGAAGCGCCUUCCUUUUUGGUGGGUGUGGAUGAGUGGCGAACGGGUGAGUAACACGUGAGUAACCUGCCCCCUUCUUCUGGAUAACCGCAUGAAAGUGUGGCUAAUACGGGAUAUUCUGGGUCUGUCGCAUGAUGGGUCUGGGAAAGAUAUUGUUUCGGUGGGGGAUGGGCUCGCGGCCUAUCAGCUUGUUGGUGGGGUGAUGGCCUACCAAGGCGGUGACGGGUAGCCGGCCUGAGAGGGUGGACGGUCACACUGGGACUGAGACAUGGCCCAGACUCCUACGGGAGGCAGCAGUGGGGAAUAUUGCACAAUGGGCGCAAGCCUGAUGCAGCGACGCCGCGUGAGGGAUGGAGGCCUUCGGGUUGUGAACCUCUUUCGCCAGUGAAGCAGGCCUGCCUCGUUUGUGGGUGGGUUGACGGUAGCUGGAUAAGAAGCGCCGGCUAACUACGUG